GGAGGUAUGGCGUAAUGGCUAUCGCAUCGGAUUGCAGAUCCGCAGGUUCUGGGUUCGAAUCCCAGUACCUCCU